UUAGACACCUUAUUUAUAUAGGUUAGUUAUUUUAGUUAUUUAGCGACGCACCAUAGUAGACGCAUAUUGAACGGGACUAGUGACGUUUGGGAUAUGUUGGGUUAGAGACCGGAAAAUCAGUUAGCGAUAGAACAUUCCAGGGUAACGACGUGUUUAGUGACAGAGACUUCUACUGUGGCCCUUUUAUCAUAAUAAAUACAUGUUGAAUAGUUCAUCAGAGUCGACUACAUCUCUUCACUAGUUAAAAUAGAUGUGCCAGUUCUUGUUUGUGUUGUAGUUCAACUGCACGUAAUACACCCGGACAAUUACACCCAAACGAUUGCAGAGUAAUUGGUUGACUUCAAGACAGCCUGAACUAGCAACAUCACAGUGGCGACCCCGAACCUCGAAGCCGGACCCCUGUUGAAGCCGAACAUCGAACCGAACCUCGAAGCCGGACCCCUGAUGAAGCUGAACAUCGAACCGGACUUCGAAGCAGAACGUUUACUCAGGUGAGGGUCGUGCACUCGAAGAUAUAAGAUUUCAUCGGAGUACGGCUGAACACAGCAGUAUCGCAGAGUGACUUUGUUCUAGAUCUACAUACAGUCAUCGCCUGUUUGAUCGCACGUUCAACGAGCCGUUAACUCAGGGUGACCUUCGUCAGGACCGUAAUCAUCGCAACGCCUGAUCUUCAUAUGCUGAAUCGACCUACAGCCAGAGAAACCGUUCAUUCAUAACGGGUGAGAGAUCGUUAGUGAACCUGUUGGACAUAUUUUUUCUUCGUCAUAGGAGCCACAUUGAGUAUCAAGUUUUACCUCGUCAGUUUCGAGAAGGACAGUUUACCCGCUGUCAGAAGUAUUGUGAGUACUACAAGUUUGGUAGCUAACUAAAUCGAAAUCGCUCUGUCGUCUUACCCUUGGAGAGAUUCUUGUGGAGCAGUUUGCUCAUUGAACCGGUUGCUUGCCACGUUUAUAACGGUCACUGUGUUUAACCUUUGGAAGGUUAGUGAAGUAAUCUUUAUCAGUACUGAACAUUGAUAUAUCUAGUAUUCGUCGGUCUAGACCAUAUCUAGACUUGUUGAUAUUGCAGUUGUGGAAACAGCUACAUCCACUUAAUCUCGUUGAAAACCGUUAGUCGUAUAACGGAACGUCGUCGGAGGUGACCUUGGUCUCACCUAGUCUACAUUGGACAGUUUGGUCUAGUGAAGCAGAGUACAACAGCAAACUUCGUCGUACUACCAGAGUAGCAGCAGAAGCAGUGAACUAUUUUAGAGAACCGUUAUUCGUCAGCCCAGAUCAAGUCAUCGUCAAGAAAGCCGUUAUUCGUCAGCCCAGAUCAAGUCAUCGUCAAGAAAUUCGUUAUUCGUCAGUCGUCCAGAUCAAGUUGUCGUCAAGAGACUGUUAUUUGUCAGUAGUCGUCUACACAAGUCAAGUCAUCGCCAGAAGAACCGUUAACCUAUUCGUCAGUAACUGUGUACACAAGGUCGUCGGAACUACACAUACGGUCAUCAACAGUCGUCGAAGAAACUGGAACAUUUUGCUGUGGCAUAUCAGGACAUCUGUGGCAUUACGUGGGAUACUGGUAGCACCGGAGAACAGAGUCAGAACUGGAAGAGAGGCAGUGGAAUUUGUUGUGAUCUAACAUAUUCGGGAGUCCGAACAAAGGGAUCUUUCUUAUCAAAAGCUAAGUGCCAUUUUUCUUAUUAGUAUAUGUUUAGAUUGCCCUUAGAAAUAGAUUUUGUCUAAAUUUGGUACGUUAGCCUGAGUAAAAUCAGGUGGUGCGCCUUAAAACCCGUCGGGGUAGAAGACGUAAUUUAGAUGAAAAGCUAUAUUAUACGUUUAGGGUUGUAAUUUGUUUUGUUUGUGCAAACGUCAUAUCCGUUGUUGCCUGGUUACUUCGUGACGUUAUCAUUGUGUGCCAUAUUGUCACAUCCCAACCCAUAGUGAUAGUCUCAUUUAAUUAUUUCAUUUGUUUAUAUUAUUUUAAAUUAUUUAUUUUUAUUAAUUUAAUUAGAUCUGUAUUUUUUUUUCACUUAAUGAUAGAAAGUGCGGGUAGGAUUCUUUUACUGUGAAUCAGACUAAAAUAAUUUUAGUUUGAGCGGUUAAAAUCAAAUAUGAUUUUGCCAUGAGAAUAAUGCCGAAACUGGCUAUGUAGUCAAACACUGUCGUCUGGCUAAAUUUAGAUCUGCAAAUUGUUGUACAUCUCUUUGGUACAAUUUAAUUAUCUAGACUCUACUUUGAAAUAUUAUUAAGUUGAAGAUGAAUGAAGAUUACUGCCAGUGAAGAACAUUUGAGAUGUAUAGGACGUGCCCAUAAGAUGCCACAUUUUCCUCCAUGAUGAACUAUGUACCAAUGAAGAUGAUUCUGGAAUGUUAUGAACUGUUAUGAACAUUGACAUGAAUAUGAGGAACUGUCAAGAUGAAGAUGUCAAGAUGAAGAGAUCAAGAUUUUAUGUUUGUGGUCUUCCCCUUAAAUUGAAAAUGCCCUUGUAAGACUUGACAGUAGUGGAAAAAUAUUGACAUAUUUUUUUUUCAAGGGGGGGAGGAAUCUGUUAGACACCUUAUUUAUAUAGGUUAGUUAUUUUAGUUAUUUAGCGACGCACCAUAGUAGACGCAUAUUGAACGGGACUAGUGACGUUUGGGAUAUGUUGGGUUAGAGACCGGAAAAUCAGUUAGCGAUAGAACAUUCCAGGGUAACGACGUGUUUAGUGACAGAGACUUCUACUGUGGCCCUUUUAUCAUAAUAAAUACAUGUUGAAUAGUU